rnacentral:lncRNA from 1 species
UUAUGCAGACAUAUUACAUCACAUAUGAUCAAACAGAUAGUAUCCUUGAUAAACAGAGGAAUCAAUCAUACAAAUCACCAUAGAGAUACCAGUAACACAAGCAGCACACUUUGCAAACAGAAGAACCAUCAUACAAAUCAUUAUUAGUAUUCUAAACUAUAUCUAGGUUGUAUUAAGUCUUUUACUGACUUUCACGUAAAGCCAUUACAACAUAUAUCAUCUAAGGGAAAAAAAGAUCCUCG